rnacentral:lncRNA from 1 species
AACCUGCUGGGUCCUGUUCCAGCCCGGGAGUUCUUGUUGUUUUGCUCUUCGCGAUAAAUGUUGCUGCUGUUCACUCUUUAGGUCCGCGCUGCGUUUAUGAGCUGUAACACGCACCACCGAGAAGGUCUGCAGCUUCACUGCAGAAGCCAGUGAGACCACAAACCUACCGAAAGUAAGAAACUCUGGACACAUGUGAACAUCUGAGGGAACAAACUCCGGACACACCAUCUUUCAGAACUGUAACACUCACCGCGAGCGUCGGCGGCUUGGUUCUUGAAGUCAGCGAGACCAAGAACCCACCAAUUCCGAACACUCUCCCUCUGAUGAAGUACCUCAAAAGCUAAGCUCCCAUCAAUCCUGGAGAGAUAGAAUCAGCAGAGCAUAGUGGCAGAAUGAAUGGUUUAAAAGGAACAGCAGCGACCAAAGAACUUUUUAUGCAGAGAAACCCCAAAUCUGGGGCAAAGCCCUCCUGUUCAUUUUAUCUCACACAAGGGCAUUGUUGAUCCAGAUGAAUGUAUUCACUUUGAAACGAGACCAUAGUCGCCGCUAGAGACAAAACUACAUACACUGACCCAGAUACGGUUCUUCCCCAGACCAAGUGACCCCAGCUGCAGCCGGAGUGCUCACAGUAAACUGAAAUUACAUGAAUGACACCCAGGGAAAGACGCUUGUAUUAUAAAGAGGCUACAUUUCUAUUUGGUUUACUGAUGUAUUAAUUUUUCAAAGUUUGGAAUCUCUUCAAAUACAAGGUAAAUGCAUUUUCUAAGAAUUUGGCCCAGUGGCACUCGUCUGGAUGUGAUAACCUGUUUUUCCUGUAUCAUGAUUUAACUUAAACUACUCUUGUAAGUGACUGAUUCUGUAUCUUCAAGUUACAUUCAUACAUCCUGUGACUGGAUAUUGACGAAUUCAGUAGGUGCCACAGGCAUAUCUUGCUUGUCUGAAAGGAAAGUUAAUUUUAUACUAAGAUGCCACCAUUAAAAUAGAUAAUGAAAGCAUUGUUAGGAUUUACCAGAUUAGCUAAAGCAACAAAACAUCAGAUUGUAACUAGAUGACCUCGGGGAAAAACACAGGAUGUAUAUUUCCACAAAACAUCCCGCAUCAUUUGACAUAUUCAAAGUAAAGGUAAGCCAUGUAUUUUGGCCUUUAUGUUGUUCACAGAAGAGUUCUUUGCACACUGGAUAUACAUUGGAAUUCAUCUUCCUUUUCUUCUUAGUAUGUUAGAAUAUCUAUGUCUUCAAAAGGGUCAGCCUCAAAUGAGUGAGCCAAAGGCACUUACAUGCAGACCAGUACUUAUUAGAAAGAACUGAGAAAUGAAACAUAAACUGAUAAGUGAGUGCAAGUCAUUCAUCUUUUUAAAGCCCAUAAAAAGAGAAUUGUAAAUUAAAAUGUCUACAAUAGGUUCAACACCUCUCUCUCAGCCCCUCCCUUUCCUUUGUCAUGCUACAGCAUUCAAGUGUGGGAAUGUUUCUCUGAAACGUGUAAAUCACACAUUUAGUCAUGCCAUACCCAGGAGCACCGUACCGGGAGGAACGGGGAGGAAGGCCAAGGAAAUUAAAUAUGAGUCCAGCAGUUUGUUAAUGAAACAUUUACACAAGCAGUUUAUAUGGUUGUAAUAAAAAAGGGGGGCCUCUUUCAUCGCACCUUUUCAUUACUUAGCACAGUCUUUAAGAGGAUUAAUGUGGAAGGGGGGAAAAGAAUGUGCUUAUCAGUUGAGUCUCAGGAUUGGUAAUGCUGAGUUCUUAAUAGAUUGCCUCUGGAUUUAGGAUUACUGUGGUGCAAAUUCUUCCAGGCUUUCAAUAGAAUAGAAAGCAGUUUGUUUUCCCCCCUUCAACGAGAAGGGCUAUUGACUUGGUGAUGAAAUGACCUAGGACUCAGAGUUUAUUCAAACCACUGCCUCCUGUUUCUGUCACUUCAGGGAGAUUUAUUUAUUUGUUUGGGCUACUGGUAGCCAAUGCAUCAAAAUAUGCACUAAUUCCACCACUACUGUGAUUAAGAAGCAGCUAACAAUGCAAGUUUAACAGCAACCAGCUGACUUUUAUGAUGCUUGUAUUAAGGAUCUAGUUUUCAAAAGGAAACAGCAGAGAAGACAAAUCUAUUUUUUGGACACUGUCAAUUCCCUGCACCUCAUUUUCUGACAGGUUUCCUAACAGCUCAGAUAAACUACAUAUUUUGGAGGACAACUGAAGUGAAUAAGUGGCCCUUUUAGUUUUCUGGGGAGUUAGAGGCAGCUUUUGUUGGCAAUCUUGUGAAAGAGUACAGUACUGAUGGAUCAUGCUGCUUGAGGUCCCGUGACUUCACACUAUUUUUAGCACAAGGAAGAUGUUAGUUGUAACAGUGUACAAUGGGCUAAUCAGCCAUAAUAGAACUCACACUGUUUUUCACUUCACAUUGCACUUAUUAUGUGCCUUGAAUGUAAACAGCUCUUUGCUUCUGACAAAGAUGGCAGUUUGCCAUGGUGGGAUUCAGCCUUCUCUAAAGCUCAGCAAACAUUGAAUAGAGCAAGCCAGAAGACUGAAAAAGCAAUUGUUUGAAUUUAUGUCACUUGCAACCUUAGACAAAAUUAUUUUUGUUACUUCCAUCCUUUCCUUCCUACCUCCCUCAAAUUAGCAAGCAUUCACAUAUGUCAGUUAUCAGCAUAUGAAAAAUUAUUUCCAUUAUUUCUCCACCCACAUUUAGAGAAUCAAUAAAUCAUGUUUUAUAUAAAGUCUUGAAUAAUGACAUCCCUGUGCAUUUUAUACCCAUUGUGAAAUAUUUGGAACUUAACAUAAUAAUAUGAAGCUUGAUCAUAUAAAUAGAUUGAAGUUGCUUUAAAGCAUGAUAAAAGAUACUCUUUAAAAUUACACCCAACACCCAAAAGAAGUUUAUUGUUUUGCACCAUCUGUAUGUACCAUUAGCAGAUUCAAUAGUUUGCUCUCAAAACAGAUUUAGAGCAAUUUACUAUAAAGCAAAUUGUUGUUGGCUAGGCUUCCUGCAUUGUUAUCCUAUGAUUUUUCCAGGCACAGGGGCAUAUUCAAAAGUUUUUUGAAAUUUUAUCACAGUAAUACAUGCACAUGAUAAAAACCAUCAAGUAGUAUAAGAAAGUACUUUAUAAAGAAAAGUACCCUCCUCCACACUCAGGCCUAUUACUAGCAGCAAAGACCUUUUUAUUUUUUAGUUCUUCUUCUGGAGAUUACUUCCUAACCCUAAAUAAAAGGCUUAUAAUAGUAUUUCUAAAGAAUUUUUUUAAAUUAUUAUUAUUUUUUUUAGAGUUGGGGUCUUGCUCACUGCAGCCUCGAACUCCAGGGCUCAAGUGAUUCUCCUGUCUCAGCCCCUCAGCCUCCUGAGUAGCUAUGACUAUAGGCAUGUGCCACUGUGCCCAGCUAAUUUUUAUUUUUACUUUUGUAGAGUCAGGAUCUUGCAUUGUUGCCUAGGCUGGCCUUAAACCCCUAGCUUCAAACAAUACUCUCACCUUGACCUCGCGAAGUGCUGAUAUUACAGGUGUGAGCCACUGCACCUGGCCUUAUAAUAGUAUUUAUUGAUUGAUUCAUUCAUUGAUUCAGCAGAUAUUCACUGAGUGACUACUGUUUGCCACAUACUGUUCUAAAACUGAGAUACAACAGUGAACGAAACAGACAAAAGUCCCUGCCCCCUUGAAGCUGAACAUUCCACUGGAGUGGAAAUGAGGAGAGGCAGAUAAUAAAUAUCAAUGAAUAAUUUAUAUCACAUAUCAAAAAGUGAAAAGGGGUAUAGAAUAAAAGAAAUGAGAAAGGUGGGCAAGAGGGGUACUGAAGGUGGAAGGUGGUGUGAAGUUCGAAACACAGAGGUUAGGGAUGGCCUAACUAAGAGUGUGAUAUUUCAGCAAAGACAUGAAAGAAGUAAUAGAGUAACCCAUGAAAACAUCUCAAAGGAGAGAGGCCAGAGUGGAAGGAACAGCCAGUGCAAAGGCCCUGAGGCAGGAGCAUGGCUGGUUGGCUUAAGGAACAGUGAGGAGGUCAACUUGGCUGAUGUGGAAUGAGCAAAGGAAAGUGCAGUAGGAGAUGGGGCUUGUGAAAUGAUGGGAGGAGGAGGUCCAUGGGAGUGUAGGAAGGAUUUGAACAGAGAAUUAAUUCAGUCCUGUUUAAGUUUUUACUUUCUUGAGGAAAGGAUGUGUGAAUGGAAGAAGGAAGUUAUUUUGGAGUCUCUGCGGUGAUCCAAGUGAGACAAGGAAACUCCCAACAGGUUGAUGCCUCAGAGGAGUUAAGAAGUAGUCAGAUUCUGGGUAUACAGUGAGGCUUACUUGCUUUUCUGAUAGAUUGCAUUUAUAGAAUAUGAGAGAAAGAAGAUUUGGCUUCAGCUACUGUAAGAAUGGAGUGGCCCUUAAUGGAGAUAAGAUAGACUGCUGGUUGAAUGGGAUUUGGAAGGAAGAUUUAGUUAUGGAUAUGUUGAGUUUGAGAUGCCUUUAGACAUCAAAGUGGUGAUAACAGAUAGAUAAGUGGAUAUGAGAGGCUGGAGUUCUGGGGAGAGGUACAGACCUCGUAUUUACAUUUUUGGUCGUUAGCAUAUACAUGGUAUUUAAGGUCACAUGCCUAGGUAAGCCCACUAGGGAAUGAAGCUAAAAGAAGUCCAAGGACUUAUCCUUGGGACAUUCUCACAUUAAAAGAUUGGAUAAGAAACUUGCAAAAGGAACUGAAAAGAAGUGAGGUCAGAAGCUACUGGAAGAAAGAGAGUUACAAAAGUAGGCUAACAAAUGCAUGUCAAGUUUACAUGACCCACAGUGAUAUUCUCAGGUUAGAGAAAGAGUUAUGAAGACAAUGGUGAUCCUGCAGCAAAGUAGAAGAGAGCACUUAAAUUAUAGAAUGAUGAAACAUUAGAAGCAUUUCCUUUAGAAUUUAGAGUAAUUUAGAAGUGUCUAGAAUAAAGGAAAAUAUGUAUUAAAUAGCAGUGCUAUAUACUAGUAAUAAUCACUUUUUUAGUAGUAUGAAACUUGGUGUCAACAGAAACUUUAUAUACCAAUGAAUAGCUUUAACAAAAAACGUGAUAGACAUGUAUGAAUACUUACAGUAUAUUCUGAGAGGUGUAAAAAUGUAAAAGAUUUCAUGCAGAUACAUAAUUGUUGAUGUACAGGUGGACUGAGUAUUGCAAAAGUGUUAAUUUUUUUCUUGAAUAUAUGAGUUUAUCGUAGUUCAAAACAGAGUUCUGAUGGGCAAAUUUUUGGUACAGUAAUGAUCAUAGCAGCACUAUUUUUAAUAGCCAACAACUAGAAACAAUCAAAUGUCCAUAAAUGAGUAAAUAAACUGUAUAUUCAUUCAAUGAAAUAAUAUACAGCAAGAGGAUGAUUGAACUACAACUACAGCAUCAACAUAGGUGAAUCUCGCAAACAUAAUAAUGAACAAAGAAGGCAGACACUAAAGAGUAUAUACUUUGUGAUUCCACUCGUAUAAAGUUCCAAAACAGAUCCAAAUGAUCUAUGAUGCCUGGAAGGGAUGCAAGGGAGACUUUUGUUCUGGUAAUGCUUCUUUUCUUUUUUCUUUUGAGAGGGAAUCUGGCUCUGUUGCCCAGGCUGGAGUGCGGUAGUGCAAUCUCGGCUC